AGCUAUAUUUCAGGGAGCUUGUCUACACUUAAAAGGCUCCAGUGGUGCCAGUGCAGCUUGGUAAUCCACCUCCCUGCGUGGUGGUAGCUAUGUCAACAGGAGAAGUCCUCCCCUUGAUAUAGCGCUGUCCACACCGGGAGUUAGGGAUGGACAAGUGAGCGUUGUCAAGCUGUCUGACUUCUUGAAAGUGCAUUCUCUAAAGUCAGAGUGAAGAGUGAGGCACUGAGAAGAGAAAAUAUAAAGAGAGCACGUACUGGAUGGAUCAAUUGCUGACAGCCCUAAUUUUGUUCCUAAUAAUCUAUCUCACCAGAAGAAAAACUUUUAGUGCACAACCUUGAAUUAUUUUACAUCUAUCAUGUUUUGCAAUCCUGGCACCAUCUCUGAUACAGAUUUUUUUUCAUACUCUCCUUCGUCGCCCAGAGUUCAACGUGUGGCCCCACACCACCAUGCUGUUCUAAUCCUGCUCUGAAGACUGAAUUAUUCAUUUCCUCGUGGGAUUUUCCAUGAUACUUAUCGCUAGAAGAGUAUCUGAGUUCUUCACAAACAUUUAUUUUCACAGAAUCCAUGGGAGAUGGGGCUAUUCCCAUUUUCCGGGUAGUGAAUGGAGGCACAGAGAGAGUAUAAGAUCAGAAUGAUCAACUAAUUUUUAGUGCCCUGUUUAAGAUACCUGGGACCUGAUUUUACAGCAUACUUAUCAUUAUAUAACACUUCAUAUGUUCAAAGCACAGUUCCCAUGGACUUCAACUACAGCUGUGAGUGUUCAGCACUUCUGGAAAUCAGACCCCAGAGUCUUAUAUAAGGCACCCAGAAAAUGAGGAACACAUAUUUGUGACUACCUGUGAAAGUUUAAGUGGUUUGCCUAGCAGUACGCAGGAACUCUAUGGCAGAGGCAGGGAAUUCAGUUCUCCAGAGCAGAAUUAAACUGCCUUAACCAUGCAACUAGAUAUCAGCAAAUUAAUUGAUAAUUUUCUUCUAAUUUUGUUUUAACUGAAAAAUUUUGAUUUGUACCCAG